rnacentral:tRNA from 1 species
UUCCUGGUGGUCCAGUGGUUAAGACGCUGCACUCCCAGUGCAGGGGGCCUGGGUUCAAUCCCUGGUCAGGGAA